rnacentral:rRNA from 1 species
AUGGGGGUCUCUCGCAGCAACAACAACAACAGCAAGACGCUGGUGCUCCUGGUCUGCUUCCUCCUCCUUGUGGCCUCCCCGUUCCUGCAUGGAGUCGAGUGCUUCGCCGUUGCUUCCGCGACGAGUCCGGAGGAAGCCACUGAGAAGACGCUGAUGGCGGGGAGCACACGGGCGCUGGAGACGGUGGCGCCGAAGCAUCAUCAGCAUGGCCGGGGCUCGGGCGCGUCUGCCAUGUCGAGCAACGCUGGUGGUGGUCUCUGGUCGUCCAAGUCCAAGCCGGCCGUGGCUCGCAGGUUGCUGCCGGCAGGAGCUGGCCAUUCGUGCGGCUCCAGCGGUGGCCAGGGCUGCUCCCCGUAA